GUUGUAUGGUUAAGUGACUAAGCGUACACGGUGGAUGCCUUGGCAGUCAGAGGCGAUGAAGGACGUAUUAACUUGCGAUAAGCCCAGAUUAGGUAGUAAAAACCAUUUGAGUCUGGGAUUUCCGAAUGGGGAAACCCACUAGCAUAAGCUAGUAUCGCUGCGUGAAUACAUAGCGCAGCGAGGCGAACCGGGGGAACUGAAACAUCUAAGUACCCCGAGGAAAAGAAAUCAACCGAGAUUCCGAAAGUAGCGGCGAGCGAAAUUGGACUAGCCCUUAAGCUUUUUAUGCGUCAGGUGAAACUUCUGGAAAGUUGUGCGAUACAGGGUGAUAGCCCCGUAACCGGCAACGCAUUUAAAGUGAAAUCGAGUAGGGCGGGACACGUGAUAUCCUGUCUGAAUAUGGGGGGACCAUCCUCCAAGGCUAAAUACUACUGACUGACCGAUAGUGAACCAGUACCGUGAGGGAAAGGCGAAAAGAACCCCUGUGAGGGGAGUGAAAUAGAACCUGAAACCGUGUACGUACAAGCAGUAGGAGCACCUUCGUGGUGUGACUGCGUACCUUUUGUAUAAUGGGUCAGCGACUUAUAUUCAGUGGCAAGGUUAACCAUCUAGGGGAGCCGUAGGGAAACCGAGUCUUAACUGGGCGUUCAGUCUCUGGAUAUAGACCCGAAACCAGGUGAUCUAGCCAUGGGCAGGUUGAAGGUUGAGUAACAUCAACUGGAGGACCGAACCGACUAAUGUUGAAAAAUUAGCGGAUGACUUGUGGCUAGGGGUGAAAGGCCAAUCAAACCUGGAGAUAGCUGGUUCUCCCCGAAAGCUAUUUAGGUAGCGCCUCGGACGAAUACUACUGGGGGUAGAGCACUGUUAAGGCUAGGGGGUCAUCCCGACUUACCAACCCUUUGCAAACUCCGAAUACCAGUAAGUACUAUCCGGGAGACACACGGCGGGUGCUAACGUCCGUCGUGGAGAGGGAAACAACCCAGACCGCCAGCUAAGGUCCCAAAUUACUACUAAGUGGGAAACGAUGUGGGAAGGCUCAGACAGCCAGGAUGUUGGCUUAGAAGCAGCCAUCAUUUAAAGAAAGCGUAAUAGCUCACUGGUCGAGUCGGCCUGCGCGGAAGAUGUAACGGGGCUAAGUAGUAAACCGAAGCUGCGGCAAUGCACUUUAGUGCAUUGGGUAGGGGAGCGUUCUGUAAGCGGUUGAAGGUGUGCGGUAACGCAUGCUGGACGUAUCAGAAGUGCGAAUGCUGACAUGAGUAACGAUAAAGGGGGUGAAAAACCUCCUCGCCGGAAGACCAAGGGUUCCUGUCCAACGUUAAUCGGGGCAGGGUAAGUCGACCCCUAAGGCGAGGCCGAAAGGCGUAGUCGAUGGGAAACGGGUUAAUAUUCCCGUACUUCUUACAAUUGCGAUGGGGGACGGAGAAGGCUAGGUGGGCCUGGCGACGGUUGUCCAGGUUCAAGUGCGUAGGCUGAGAAAUUAGGUAAAUCCGGUUUCUCUUAAGGCUGAGACACGACGUCGAGCUACUACGGUAGUGAAGUCAUUGAUGCCAUGCUUCCAGGAAAAGCCUCUAAGCUUCAGAUUGUAAGGAAUCGUACCCCAAACCGACACAGGUGGUCGGGUAGAGAAUACCAAGGCGCUUGAGAGAACUCGGGUGAAGGAACUAGGCAAAAUGGUACCGUAACUUCGGGAGAAGGUACGCUCUCGACGGUGAAGUCCCUCGCGGAUGGAGCUAUUGAGAGUCGCAGAUACCAGGUGGCUGCAACUGUUUAUUAAAAACACAGCACUGUGCAAAAUCGUAAGAUGACGUAUACGGUGUGACGCCUGCCCGGUGCCGGAAGGUUAAUUGAUGGGGUUAGACUUCGGUCGAAGCUCUUGAUCGAAGCCCCGGUAAACGGCGGCCGUAACUAUAACGGUCCUAAGGUAGCGAAAUUCCUUGUCGGGUAAGUUCCGACCUGCACGAAUGGCGUAAUGAUGGCCACGCUGUCUCCACCCGAGACUCAGUGAAAUUGAAAUCGCUGUGAAGAUGCAGUGUACCCGCGGCUAGACGGAAAGACCCCGUGAACCUUUACUACAGCUUGGCACUGAACAUUGACCCUACAUGUGUAGGAUAGGUGGGAGGCUUUGAAACUAGUACGCCAGUAUUAGUGGAGCCGUCCUUGAAAUACCACCCUUGUAGUGUUGAUGUUCUAACGUUGACCCCUUAUCGGGGUUGCGGACAGUGCCUGGUGGGUAGUUUGACUGGGGCGGUCUCCUCCCAAAGCGUAACGGAGGAGCACGAAGGUGGGCUAAUCACGGUUGGACAUCGUGAGGUUAGUGCAAUGGCAUAAGCCCGCUUGACUGCGAGAAUGACAAUUCGAGCAGGUGCGAAAGCAGGUCAUAGUGAUCCGGUGGUUCUGAAUGGAAGGGCCAUCGCUCAACGGAUAAAAGGUACUCCGGGGAUAACAGGCUGAUACCGCCCAAGAGUUCAUAUCGACGGCGGUGUUUGGCACCUCGAUGUCGGCUCAUCACAUCCUGGGGCUGAAGUCGGUCCCAAGGGUAUGGCUGUUCGCCAUUUAAAGUGGUACGCGAGCUGGGUUUAGAACGUCGUGAGACAGUUCGGUCCCUAUCUGCCGUGGGCGUUGGAAGAUUGAAGGGGGCUGCUCCUAGUACGAGAGGACCGGAGUGGACGAACCUCUGGUGUUCGGGUUGUGUCGCCAGACGCAUUGCCCGGUAGCUAAGUUCGGAAUCGAUAACCGCUGAAAGCAUCUAAGCGGGAAGCGAGCCCUGAGAUGAGUCUUCCCUGAUACUUUAAGUAUCCUAAAGGGUUGUUCGAGACUAGAACGUUGAUAGGCAGGGUGUGUAAGCGUUGUGAGGCGUUGAGCUAACCUGUACUAAUUGCCCGUGAGGCUUAACCAUACAACACCCAAGGGGUUU
rnacentral:rRNA from 1 species